GCAUAGCCCCGAUUGAAGCGGCAUCCUUUUGCGAAACGCAGUGAAGCAAAAGAUACAGCGGAAAGCGGGAAACAGC
rnacentral:sRNA from 1 species